CCUACGGGUGGCUGCAGUGGGGAAUAUUGGACAAUGGGGGCAACCCUGAUCCAGCCAUGCCGCGUGUGUGAAGAAGGCCCUCGGGUUGUAAAGCACUUUCAGUGAGGAAGAACGCCUGGUGGUUAAUACCCAUCAGGAAAGACAUCACUCACAGAAGAAGCACCGGCUAACUCCGUGCCAGCAGCCGCGGUAAUACGGAGGGUGCGAGCGUUAAUCGGAAUUACUGGGCGUAAAGCGCGCGUAGGUGGCUUGAUAAGCCGGUUGUGAAAGCCCCGGGCUCAACCUGGGAACGGCAUCCGGAACUGUCAAGCUAGAGUGCAGGAGAGGAAUGUAGAAUUCCCGGUGUAGCGGUGAAAUGCGUAGAGAUCGGGAGGAAUACCAGUGGCGAAGGCGGCCUUCUGGACUGACACUGACACUGAGGUGCGAAAGCGUGGGUAGCAAACAGGAUUAGAUACCCCAGUAGUC
rnacentral:rRNA from 1 species